UCCAAGACAAAUUUCAGUGGA
rnacentral:piRNA from 1 species